UACGGGGGGGGCAAGCGUUGUUCGGAAUUACUGGGCGUAAAGGGCUCGUAGGCGGCCAACUAAGUCAGACGUGAAAUCCCUCGGCUUAACCGGGGAACUGCAUCUGAUACUGGAUGGCUUGAGUUCAGGAGAGGGAUGCGGAAUUCCAGGUGUAGCGGUGAAAUGCGUAGAUAUCUGGAGGAACACCGGUGGCGAAGGCGGCAUCCUGGACCGACACUGACGCUGAGGAGCGAAAGCCAGGGGAGCGAACGGG
rnacentral:rRNA from 1 species